CCCUUAGAUGUUCUGGGCUGCACACGUGCUACACUGGCAGGUUCAGCGAGCUUCAUGCCCUGAUCUGAAAGGAAUGGGAAAUCUUUUCAAAACCUGCCGUGCUUGGGAUAGAUGUUUGCAAUUAUUCAUCUUCAACGAGGAAUGCCUAGUAAACGCAAGUCAUCAGCUUGCAUUGAUUACGUCCCUGCCCUUUGUACACACCGCCCGUCGCUCCUACCGAUUGAAUGAUCCGAUGAAUAUCAUGGAUUGAGGAUGCAAGUAGGUUCGCCUAUCUUCAUCUUCGAGAAGUGAAGUAAAUCUUAUCAUUUAGAGGAAGGAGAAGUCGUAACA
rnacentral:rRNA from 1 species